rnacentral:rRNA from 1 species
AACGAACGCUGGCGGCGUGGAUAAGACAUGCAAGUCGAACGGGAAUUAAGGUGUAGCAAUAUGCCUUAAUUUUAGUGGCGAAAGGGAGAGUAACACGUGGGUAAUUUGCCGUGAAGUUUGGGAUAACUCGCCGAAAGGUGAGCUAAUACCGGAUGUGAUGAUCUUUGGGCAUCCAAAGAUUCUUAAAGUUGGGGAUUCGAAAGAACCUGGCGCUUUACGAUAAGCCCGCGGCCUAUCAGCUAGUUGGUGAGGUAAAGGCUCACCAAGGCAAAGACGGGUAGCUGGUCUGAGAGGAUGGUCAGCCUCACUGGAACUGAGACACGGUCCAGACACCUACGGGUGGCAGCAGUCGAGAAUCUUUCUCAAUGGGCGAAAAGCCUGAAGGAGCGACGCCGCGUGGGGGACGAAGGGGCUUCGGUCCGUAAAACCCCUGUCAUUCGUGAACAAACCUUGUGAUUGAAUAGGUCAUGAGCUGAUAGUAGCGAAAGAGGAAGGGACGGCUAACUCUGUGCCAG